AACCUCUGUUCUUACCUACUGCUUUAAGCAGGAUGAUGGGAAUGCUAACCCCAUCCAGUACGGAGUGACUCACUGACAGGACCCUUAGCGGAUGGGAAGAUUCCAGGCUCGUGGGGGCCCAUGGCGCAGCCGGGAUGCGGAUGCACUACGCAUCAUUUUACACACCAGCUGGGCUUCCAGCCGAGCUGUAAGUCAAAGAUUUUAUAAAUUGGAUCGUAUUUUAGAGAAUAGAUAAAAGAAGAGAGGCUGUGACUCCUCGGGAGGAAUCCGUGCACGAGGUGGUAAUCAGGCCAGAUUUAUGCUUUCUGUAAAGACGGAGAUCA
rnacentral:lncRNA from 1 species